CCCUCCCCCGCCACCCUGUCGCCGGCCCCGUUGCUCCCCCGCUCUGUCGCCGGCCGCGUCGCUCCCCCGCCCCAUCGCCGGCCCUCCCCCACCCCUUCGCCGGCCCUCCCCCUCGUCCACGACCCGCCCCAUCGAGGUCCAGGUCCGCGACGGAUCCGCCUACACCGGCGUCUUCCAGACCGCCUGCCUCGACGCCGGAUACAAUGCGCUUCCCCCUCUCCUCCCUCUCUACCGUAGAUUUCUUUUGGUCUGGUUCAGGGUUGGUGUCGGGCCCUGGGAUCACACGAAUGGCGCUCGGGCCGUGAUCUGGCUGCUGGGUGGAGAUGGUGGAUGCCGCGUGCCUAGUGCCUAGUGACACGACCUGGUUCAUCUCUGUUUUUUUCUGGGAGAAUGGGUUGUGAUCCGCUUGUUCGUCGACAGGCCCCGGUCGCCGGGAUGCCGCUUUUUGUUAGUAUUUCUUGCUGGGGCUGCAGCCGAGGGAGAUGCAUAGUGGACAGCGGCAGAGCGGGUCGGCAGAAGCGUGGUCGGAGGCGGGGUGGUGGUGUGAUGGCUGGGCGGCGCGUGCAUGUGUUGCCGUGUUGGGGCUGUGGUGGCUUGUGUGUGGUCUCUGCUAGGCAAUGAGAGAUUUAAAGUGAGAUGAUUAAGAGGUCCGGCGCCUUGAGCUCGCACCCGGCCGUCCCGCGCCGCUAGAUCCCUCCGGGUAGCGGCUUCCAGUUGCCUGGCACCGCCCGCUCCUUGACCUCGCGCCCGUUCAGGGGCGCCUCGUGUCAUCAGGUGUUGAGAGCUGCAAGUACCUUAAAUUUGUCACCACAACCCUUCUCUGUUUCAUCCUCAUACUACAUCGUCAUACGCCGCCGUUGACUUCCUGCGGAACCCCCAGUUGGCAGGAAAUGACUGAACUCGUGAUGCUCUUUCUUCCAGCGAUUUCGUUUGCUGGUCUGCUCUUCGCUCUUACUAUUUCCAGUAUUUUUUUGUAUAGCAGUUAGAUAUUGGAGGUAGCUGUGUGCUAUCUAUGGACCAUAUGGUACUGCUCGGAACAACCUGAUUGCGUUGCUCCAAGUGCAAUUGAAAUUCGAACACACCACAUUGCUCGGCUGCAUUUUAUAAGAAAGAAGUUAGGAGAACCAUUGACUGAUUUCAUUGGAGGAAUGAGGUACAGUGGUUAUAUGCAUGGUGAUUAAAUCAAGUUUUUUUACCUAUACUUCCAACCUGUAGGUGUAUUUGUGUUUAUGCUCUGUGGCGUUGAUCUGUAAAUCUUCCGAUGCUAUUUUGUGCCAUAUGGGCAAACACUAAGUUCUGAGGAAGAGAUGUCAUAUGUGUACCAUAUGGACAAACACUCUACAUUCUAAAGGACGGGCAGAACGUGCAUCCCCUGGGUAUGUUUAUUUAUUUACCAUUCAUUUUGUUAAACAUAUUUAAGUGCACUUGAAAUGUUGUUGUCUUGAAUAGUACAAGUUCUGGAAUGAAAGGAAAUUUCAGUACUCCAUAGGUUUGGUGAUCAAUUGUCGUUCUUUUUAAUGACGGUAGACAUUGUUGGACAGGGAAAUUCCCCCCUUUGUCAUGUUUUCAUGUCAGGGACUAUUAAAAAUAAAUUAUACUACCAUGUUCUAUCUUUAUAUCUAUUACACUGUACUAUCCUUGUGAUUAUAAUCACAAAUGAUAAUCUACAUAAUCCACCAUUUGAAACGAUUAAUAGCUCUUGCCAGAAAAGAGGAUGAACAUAAAAAUAUCUUUCUGCAGUUUAGACAUGUUUGCAUGGCCCCUUAUGUAUACAUUACCAAUGCAGUACUGUUUAUUAUCCAUGAUUUUUUAUUACUAUUAUUAUUCUCUUUUAGUGAGGAGCUUGAUAGGAAGAGAUCUCAAGCGCGAUCUCAAGCGCACGCACUAUACGAGGCUUCAGGAGGAAGGAUUCUAUGUUGUUCUAUUAUCUCCCCUUCUAGAACAGUUUUAACAUGGUCCCUCUGUAGUUCUUUCUGUAUAUGUACCUUGCAUAGGGUGUAGUUCAUGGUGAUAAUUCCAUUGUAUGUUUAUCAAUACACCACAUCAAUCUUAUAACUAGCUAGAAGAAGCGGCCUACCUCAUGCUCCCAUUUGAGUCUUGUGUGCAAGCUCAUAUUAUGAAAUGAUAUAAGCAUGCUUGAUUCAAGGAAGUUGCUGGUCUGAUGUCAUGUUAUACAACUUGUCCUGCUACAUUCCUGAAGUACUAAAAAAUGGAAAAUAAUGCAUUUCCUUCUAAUUCAUAUUUUUAUUUUUGAUUGUACUAUGAAUGUAUAUGAGAUUAUCAUAUAUUUCGCAGAACGAUCGCCCUGGUCGCUGGUUUAUUCCUCUGUUAAUCUAUUUCAAAUAUCUUUAAUCAGAGUCAAAGCAUGACAUAAUAGUUGGGUGUUUACCUGUGUUUUUUCUGCAUCUCCAUCCAGAUUUGUGUCCCAGAUCAUGGAGGAAUUACCCUCUCUGCUGGUGCGUUUAUAGUGCAUUAUUUGUAGUUCUAUUGGGAAGACAGUUAGAGACCCCGAGAGGCUGCUGCGAGCUGCUAUUCCCCUCCUCGAGCUGGCGGACUGAUGAUGGAGGACCCGCCCUCUUCGCUGCACCGGCGCCGCCGCUGCCACUUCUGCUUCUGUUACCCGUUGGCCCUGGGCGGCGCAUGUCCUCUGCUUCUAAGGCUUCUUCUGCUGAUGGUCUUCAAGGUGCUGCUGCUGCUCCCAAGCUGUGGCUGGCUUCGCUGCUGCAGCACCAUGCCGUCUUCAGCGACUCACCAACGACGGCAGCUCCUCCGCUGCAGGGCUACUGCGGCAUGCGUGUCUCCCUCCUCCAGGGAGGCUGUGCGGCACCGAGCGGGUGUACGGCGAGGUCUUCGUAAUGGCGUCAAGUCACCCUUGCCAUAUGGAUCAUAUAUUUGCUUCAGAUCACGGAAGCUUGGGUUGAUGGAGUGCUUGUCUUUAGUUU